rnacentral:rRNA from 1 species
CACGUAGGCGGACUAGUCAGUCAGAGGUGAAAUCCCAGGGCUCAACCCUGGAACUGCCUUUGAUACUGCUAGUCUUGAGUUCGAGAGAGGUGAGUGGAAUUCCGAGUGUAGAGGUGAAAUUCGUAGAUAUUCGGAGGAACACCAGUGGCGAAGGCGGCUCACUGGCUCGAUACUGACGCUGAGGUGCGAAAGUGUGGGGAGCAAACA